UUAAGUUCAGCGGGUAUCCCUACCUGAUCCGAGGUCAAACUAAGGUGUGGUUGCUUCCCUGGCGGGCGCCGCCGCGAGCUCCUAAGCGGAAUCUUACUACGCUUAGAGCCGGAUGGUGCCGCCGACGAGUUACGGGCGGUCCCUGAGGACCGGCGCCCAAGACCAAGCGGUGCUUGAGGGUUUGCAAUGACGCUCGAACA
rnacentral:misc_RNA from 1 species